rnacentral:tRNA from 1 species
AUUCUUUUAGUAUAUAAAGUAUAUUCAACUUCCAAUUGAAAGGUUUAAUAAACUUAAAAGAAUA